rnacentral:miRNA from 1 species
AGCCUACCUUUAUUUUAUUU